rnacentral:lncRNA from 1 species
UUAUUUGUAUCAUCCAAGUUUAGAUGAUUUUUAAUAGGAAUAAUGGAUUUUAAUAAUCCUAACUAUUAGUUGUUGGCCGAUAAAGGUCUCAACUUAAAAAAUAACCAGUGGUGGUCCCACCUUUUUACAUAUUGUAAACUAAUGGAUUUUUACUAACAGAAAAGGAAAAUGGGACAAAAAGAAAUUAAGGUUUUACUGGUAAAGGUCCAUUGAUUUACAAUAUGUGAAAAUGUGAUACCACCACUUGUUAUAUUUUAAGUUGGGACCAUUGCCGACCAACAGCUAAUAAUUGAGAUUAUUAAAAUCCAAUAUUCCUUUUUAUAUUGUUUGAUGUGAAUGUUUGACUUGAUUUUGAAUCUUUGUUAUUUUAGUAAAAUCCUAAUUUGUACUCUUAUGACGUAUAUGAUUACCUUUUGA